GUUGAACGCUGGCGGCGUGCCUAAUACAUGCAAGUCGAGCGAACAGAUGAGGAGCUUGCUCCUCUGACGUUAGCGGCGGACGGGUGAGUAACACGUGGAUAACCUACCUAUAAGACUGGGAUAACUUCGGGAAACCGGAGCUAAUACCGGAUAAUAUAUUGAACCGCAUGGUUCAAUAGUGAAAGACGGUUUUGCUGUCACUUAUAGAUGGAUCCGCGCCGCAUUAGCUAGUUGGUAAGGUAACGGCUUACCAAGGCGACGAUGCGUAGCCGACCUGAGAGGGUGAUCAGCCACACUGGAACUGAGACACGGUCCAGACUCCUACGGGAGGCAGCAGUAGGGAAUCUUCCGCAAUGGGCGAAAGCCUGACGGAGCAACGCCGCGUGAGUGAUGAAGGUCUUCGGAUCGUAAAACUCUGUUAUUAGGGAAGAACAAAUGUGUAAGUAACUAUGGACGUCUUGACGGUACCUAAUCAGAAAGCCACGGCUAACUACGUG
rnacentral:rRNA from 1 species